GCCGGGCCCGCGGGGGCGAGCUGAAAACAAGGAUGGAACAGGCAUCGGGACCUUUCUGUGUGUGUGUGUGCACAGAUGUUACACACACAUACGUUACACACACAGACGUUACACAAAUCCCCAUAUGUUGCCGGCGCUCCCUCGCCCGGAGAGAAGCGAGGCCGGUGUGGACCUCUGAGCCGGUGGACCUAGGCUGGGCUCAGUGCGGCAUGGCAGCUUUCAAGGCCACAAUCCUAACACUAUGGUGGGCGGGUUUUUUAAUGUCUCCACCUUUGCCUAGCAGCCAAGUCCUCCUUACGGUUUUCCUAGACUGGCUCUUUAUGUGGCAUCUGGGAUACAACAGCCUCAGGAAAGGUCUCUGUUAGUCCUUGACCACACCUGUGCCUGAGACCUUCCAGAGGAGCACUGUUCACGUCUUCCACUUCCAGAGCUGAAGGCCCACCCUUUCCCCGUUCUUCCUGGAUGGAUCUCACCAGAAGGGUGGCACCAGGAAGAGAAAAGAGCAAGAUACAGGGAAUGGAGAUUGUAUCAAGAGUCUGAAAGGCCUGUCUUUCCCUUCAUUCUCCAAACAAAAAGCUUUUUAUAGCCAGGUCUCGC
ensembl:lncRNA